rnacentral:lncRNA from 12 species
GUAGGCCCCAGAAGUAAAGUAUUUCUCACUGCUCUUUGUUUAUAUGUGACAUAGAACUUAAAAGUAUUCUCUUCAUUAAACCCUGGGGCCUUAGGAUCCCAGGAUAAAUGAAAAAGCAGACCAGACUGAUUCCCACAAUCUUAAAAAAAAAACAAUCGUUAGUGUGUUAACAUCACAGAAGCAGAAAUCCAACAUCUCAAUCUGAACUUUAUUUUUUAUUUUUAUUUUAUUUUUCAAUCUGAACUUUAAAAACUUUCUGUUCUAAUGAGGAAUUAUCUGUUAUGUUUGCCAAGUACACAACCCAACAAGCUAACUCAGAAGCUAUGGUACAGAAAGGCUCACAGACAACUUAAGGUACACAAAUCGCAUGGUUCAGUGAAUAAAUCUGAAAUAAACCACAAGUGGUAAAGGAAAAGAGAGUGAGAUUAACACAAUUAAGAUAGAAUGCAAGUGAAAAAUAAAAAUGAAAAAGAUAGGGUGCAAGUGGGAUAUAAUGGCCUUAUCACCUGAAACCUGAAUCCUGGGAUACAUGAUGUUCAUAUGUUCUACCUCUCUCUCUGCUACAGCAGGCCUUCCCUGCUACUCACAUGGUUUCGGGGACCAGACUUGAAGUUUGAGCAAGAAGGUUCAAUUAGAGGAAAGGUAUUUGGGCCCAAUGAUACCUUUUCAUAUCAGAGAGACCCAGAGUUCUGUUUCAUGCUGCCUCUAUCAUCAGAACAGUCCACAUUCCGUGAUAACCUGAUUCAUUAACAAGAGCCAGAGGUGAGACUUCGGAUUUGGGGUUUGUGAGAGUCUUGGGCUUCUUUAUGAUAUAUCUGGAGUAGCUGGUGGGGUUGGGUGGCACCUGAAGGACACUGGAAGCAGACAUUUUACUUGCCUGGGAACUUCCUUUUUCUGUCUAAUGCAAAAAAAUGGUCCCUGGAGCAUUGUAAGGAAAGCCUAGACAAGAGUCUCCUUUCGAAUCCUUUAAUUUCAACCUCUGUGGCAGAUUGUCCUUAAAGAUGACCACCAUAAGUUCUUUCCUCCCUCCAUGCAUGUCUGCUCCAGCCACUAAGAGGUAGAGAUUAUAAAAUCCAAAAAGAAAAAAAAAAGAGGUAGAGAUUAUUGGGGUGCUUGGGUGGCUCAGUCAGUUAAGUGUCUGAUGCUUGAUCUCAGGGUCAUGAGUUUAAGCCCAGUGUUGGGCUUCCCACUGGGUUGGGCUUCUUUUCUUUUAAAUGAAAAAAAAAAAAAAAGAGGUUGAGAUUAUUUCUUUUUUGUGCAUCUGGUCUUUUUUUUUUUUUUUUUUUUUUGUGUGUGUGUGUGUGUGUGUGUGUGUGUGUGUGUUUUUUGUGUUUUUUUUGUGUGCAUCUGGUCUGACCUGUAACUUGCCUUGACUAGUAGAAUGAGGUGGAAGUUGAAGAGACUUACAACCCACUAAGAUGGUAUAAAGAUUGUUUUAAAAUGAAGAUAUUUGAGAUACAGCAGAUCCAAAAAGAAGCCUUCUCUGAGCUUCCCUUACCUGACUUCAUACAGAGAUUUCCAGGAUGAGAAAUUGCAUAAAGAAACAUAAUUACAGAUUGUACUACUUUCCAUUUGCUCUGCUAUUUCUUUCUCAUAGAAGUCCUAUAUCUAUAAUAUCCCCUCCUCAUUCUCCUGUUAAUAUAGAAAUCUUUAUCCCUAACUGUCCAGUGAGUCUCUUCUUUUGGAUAUUCCUGCAUCCAUAUGAAUAAAACUUGUUUGUUUUUUUCCUGUUUAUCUAUU